CUGGCAAAGUGGGUGGCAUUCUUGUGCCAAAAUAUUUACUGUUAUAAAAAGAAAACAAACUUCUGUGCAUUUCAGGGACUGAACUAUAAUUUCAUGGCAGAGUAGAAUAUAUUAUUAUAUAAAACAGCGGUAACCAGCUUCUUUCUUAGAGAUGGAUAUUUCUAAUUAAAAUUGGAGGAUUUGGAGGGUUGCCUGCACUACCGAAUCCAGCUCCCACAUGUUUGUAAGGCAGCAAAAUCUUUGGGUUCUGUAGGUAAACUUGUCAAACUCCAUCACGGAGCCGGUCGGGAUGUUUGUCCUCGCAAUUCAGCUGGAAGGGUAAUGCGGGUCCUCGCUGCUCCUGACGGGCAGAAGCUGUUCUCUAAUUUCCAGCUGAAACCUGUUAAUGACCAGCUUUACUACCAGCUUGUUCUUCUGCCAGGAAGGAUUAAGCUGUUUGUGGGAGGGACGAAGAACAGCUGGUGCUUUUUCUUUGGAAGCGGCAGGUGAUGAUACAGGCUGGAGCAGAGAAACCUGAGCUGAAGGAAGCUGGCACCACUUCAGUAGAAGAAGCGGUUUGAAGGUGUUGGAUUAGUAAGUCUGGCCUGCUGGAGGACCGCUGCUCUAAGUGGUGGAUGUUCACUGAGGUGGGACCGAGGAGUGACCCCUUCAGCAGCUGGGUCACCGUGGUUGCUGGGUACUGUGUUCUCACAAGAAAUUCCCCCGUGAUGGAGCUGCACAGUGUGGGAGUGUAGGACCUGCGGGCAGAGCAGCUCCGUGGUAGAGUCGGUGGAUGCCUGGCGAUGGGGACUCCUGUUCUGUGCUGCUCAGUGCUGAGCACCAUUUUCCAUGUGGUAUGGAAAGCAAACAUGUUAAGCAAAAAGUUGGUUAUUUAUAAAGAUGAGGAAACGUCAACUAAGAUAGGACGCGGAGAGUCGAGAGUUCUCCUUGAAGGCAGAAGACUCCUUUAGCUCUGCAUUUGCUCUGUGACAGCUCUUUAAAGGCAUCCUUUGGGCACCUUCGCCAUGCCCACACGUGUGGCUGGAGACGUUUGCAUCCCAUGGCCUUGCCGAGCACUUCGGGAGUUGAUUUGCUCUUAAAUGCAAGCCUGAAACCUCCGAUGCACAGAUGUCAUUACAACGAGCGUGCUUUGGUGUUGUCAAAUUAAGCUAAACCUUGCUGGCCUUAAGGUAAGGAAGCUACAGGUUAAAGGUGAGGUCUAAAGAAGAGAGUGAAAGUCUUCAAGCACUGAAACGUUGUGAAUCGUUGCUCCAAAAUUACGCAGCUCGCCCUUACAACAGGUUGUGCUAACACAGAGGAAUUCCACAAGGAUAACCAGACAGAAGAGAUCCAACUUUUCAUUAUUUAUCAGGCGGGAGGAGAGCACACGUUUCGUUUAUAUGCGCACAAGUGCUCAACUGUUCAGGAUAAACAACUAACUGCACGGGUCCAAGCCUUUUGGCUGCUCCUUUGUGUAGGGCUGAGCGUGCUGUAGAAAUAACCAACAGCGUGCUUUUGUGUGUUGAAAUGAGAGGCUGAGGAUAUGUUUCAGGUAAAAAGAGACCUAGGGACGGUUGGUGGGGAGGCAAGAGGAGUCUGGAGUUUCAGGUUUGGAGUUACCACGCAGGCUCCUCAUGACCAUAUUGUCUUAAAGGAGUUUGGGAUAGCAAAGAUGGGGCAUACCACGGGGCGCGUGCGCCUUUCUUGGGGUUUAAUAAUCUGUUGAUCAGCAGCUCCCCGCCCGAUGUUGAAUCUUGCAUCUUGUUCCCUCUGUCACAAAAGCCCAGAUGCUCUGAGGACCGACCGGCUAGGGGUGAUGUGUAAUCAGUCACCUCUUCUCGCUGUAACCCAGGGGAGCUAAUUCCUAACCUGCUUGAGUUAGACAUUUAUUUACUUAUUUUCACUUGUUGUGCUGAAAGGAAGCAAGCAAGAUCCCGAGACUAACACAUGAGCUCUGUUUGCUCACCUGGGUGUGGAAGAGGGACAUGGAACUCCGAAAGCUUUAUGGUCGCUGGUUUGUAUGGACCCGAUUUACAUACAAGUUCUAGGCUUCUGUCUCAAAAGGAGUCUUGUAACUUCUGAAGCUUGUUUUUUCAGGAGUGUAGGUGGAAGAUACAGACACCUUUAGUGGUGCAGGUGGGUAUUGGCUCACUCUUUGCCUGUGCUGCCUGAGCUGGCAGCCCUCUUCCUCCUGUAGGAUCUGUGUGAACCCAUCCAUUUUGCGCCUUAUGCUGUAGGUCUAAAUGGUGUGAAACACUGCAAUACCUGAAGAUUUGGGGCCAGAGAGCCCGUGGUGUGCGAUCUCCUUUGUUUCACUCGUUUGGUGCGUGCUGGGGAGAGCCCAGGGCUGUCUGCGUGAAGGUUCACAAAAUGGCUGAGGGUGGAAAGGACCUCUGAAGAUUGUCUAGCCCAUCCUGUCCCUGCCAAGCAGGAAAGGUUGCCCCCGUGCUGCCUCAGCAGUGCCGUGGCAGCAGCCACCAACCGUGGCAGAAGCUUUGCCUCGCAGCCGUGCUGACGGUGUGGGACGGCGCCUGGGGUGGAGGUGAUCGCUGCUGGUGUCCGGAGCGAAGAGUUUCACGGGAUGGGAAGCAACCUUACUGCAGCUGUAAGUCAGUGACCCUUUCUCCUAGGAAUCCACAUGUGUAUUUAAAAAAAUAAAUCUGGCAGAAGCGUGAGCUGCCACCGCCAAGAAGACGACGGACACCACCCAAAAUGAUUGCGCUGCGAAGGCUUUCGGAGGAUUCAAGAGUGACAGGAGAGCCUUUCGGUUUGCUAAGCAAACUGUUGGGGAGCUUUUGAAGAAUGUUUUAAAAGACAGAGGAAAGAUGCCACAAGUCGUAAAUGUCAGGAGAACAUUGAGAUACAUUGAUCUAUCUCAAUAUUGAGAUAUGGAGGCAUUUUGCGGUUCCUGGUGGCGAAAUUCAGAACCACCACGUGCUUGUAAAGAGUUAAAUGCAGUUCCUGACAUCGAGGGCACGAGUGCUGCAUAGCCAUUCUUGCAUUUGUUUUGAACUUUAAAAAAACAACAGGCUGAUUAGCUGGAGCAGCUUUCCCCUGAGGGAAGACUACGGAGUGUAAUUUCAUUACAAAAUACAGUGCUUGGAGAUGAACUGGAGUUGGAUUUUUUUUUUUUCCCACCCUAAGGGAUUUGACAUUUCUAUUUCUUGACAUUUCUCUCAUUGUUAGACUAGCUGCUUUGUGCUGUGCUUUUUUUCCUCCCCUGGCAAAACCGUAGCUGUCUCCUUGAAGCUUGGAGCAUCUUUUCUUGUAGGUAAAGCUGGUAAUGGUUUGAAUUAGCUCAACAAGCAGAUGGUUGGAAAAGGAGGCUACGCUACGGAGUUUAAACGUGUAGCACUGGGACAAGCAGUGUAUUGCCAAAAAAAAAAAAAGUAUUAAGCAGUAGUCCCUUGAACACGGGUACAUUUAAAACUGUCAUUAGGAAAGGAUGUUACAUGGUAAAAAGAGAUGUAAAAAUAGCAACGGGUUACUCAGAGGUCUGGCUUAAGGUGUGUUACCCACAUCAAAAGUAGCAGCUGCGGCGGUUUUGUUCUGGAGCCCGUUAUUUUAGGAAUAACGGGUGUUUGUAUGAUGCUUUUCUGACUUCAGCCACUUUCCUCCACUGUUCAAUUCUGCAGUCUUUGAGUGGUAGCAUAACAGGCCAGCUCAUCUAAUGCGUUGGAAGUCUGUCAUUUAUUUGUAGGGGAACAGUGCAGGUAUUUUUCCACCUCCGUCCGUGACGAUCCUGUGGCACUUCUGGUGAUGGGCUCCGGGCUUCUGGCAGAGUUGACGGCAUCGCAGCUACUCACAGAUUGCUGCCAGCACAGCGAUGCUGGCUGGGAUGUUAACCUCUACAACCAAAGUCCCUGCUGUAAUCCUAGCUCUCCUGGCAAAGCCAUUGUUUUAACUGGGUUAACACGGCUCGCUUAGAGAGCGUAGCUUUGCUGUAAUGGCAUAAAGCUGGUUUACGGUAGGUCUGAAUUUUGGGUACUUGGGUAAUUUGGGUAAUUGUUGGUAGCCUCAGCAGCAGAGGUCUUCAUCUGAGCCCGGGUGGUUUCCAGCCUUAGCUUGAUUCCUCCUCUUUCUCCUUAGUUUGAUUCCUCCUAGUUUGAUUUCGUUCACUCAAAUCAGACUGAUUUUCAUUCAGUACAUUCAGGACAA